AUGGCACCUCCAACAUUAAUAAUUAAUCCAUAAGUGAUGUCUCUAGAUUAUCCUUAUCAAAAUUAAUAUUGACUUUCAUGAUUAAUCGAUUGAAGGGGAAGCCAAACAUGUUAGGUGGAUAGAAAAACACUUUAUAUCCGUUUUGUUUUCUACAACUAUCUUUAUAUUAUAUUAAUCUUAAUAAUAUAAUUAAAUUUAACUAAGUCUCUCUUUAGCUAUUAAGUGAAAAUUACUCCUGAGUUUAUAACUAAACAAAUAACAUAUAUACUACAUCGAGUCUUGACUAACUCUAUUUUACUAUUUAUAAAAUAUUUUACUGAAUAAUAAUUGUGUGAAGUGCCUCAAUAAAGAAAAAAA
rnacentral:lncRNA from 1 species